rnacentral:pre_miRNA from 1 species
UCCAGUAGUGUCGUGAACCAAAUGCAGCCACAUAAUCAUUUUUGGUUAGCGACAUUGCUGGUGC